rnacentral:rRNA from 1 species
UACGUAGGGGGCAAGCGUUGUCCGGAUUUAUUGGGCGUAAAGAGCGUGUAGGCGGUUAGGUAGGUCCGCUGUGAAAACUCGAGGCUCAACCUCGAGACGUCGGUGGAAACCACCUAACUAGAGUCCGGAAGAGGAGAGUGGAAUUCCUGGUGUAGCGGUGAAAUGCGUAGAUAUCGAGAGGGAACACCAGUGGCGAAGGCGAGUCCCUGGACAACACCUGACACUGAGGCACGAAAGCUAGGGGGAGCAAACAGG